rnacentral:miRNA from 1 species
CCUUUAAUAUAUUAUAGGUGUCGG